rnacentral:misc_RNA from 1 species
AAGUCGUAACAAGGUUUCCGUAGGUGAACCUGCGGAAGGAUCAUUAUUGAAAAAGAAAACGCCCCGUUUUUUUCGUAAAAAUGGGUUCAAUACCCAUAAACGUGUAUACCUUACCUUUGUUGCUUUGGCAGGCCGCCUCCGGGCGUCGGCUCCGGCUGACAGCGCCUGCCAGGGGACCCAAACUCUGUGUUUAGUGAUGUCUGAGUAACAUAUAAUAUUUUAAAACUUUCAACAACGGAUCUCUUGGUUCUG